rnacentral:rRNA from 1 species
AACGAACGCUGGCGGCAUGCCUAACACAUGCAAGUCGAACGAGACCUUCGGGUCUAGUGGCGCACGGGUGCGUAACGCGUGGGAACCUGCCCUUAGGUUCGGAAUAACUCCCCGAAAGGGGUGCUAAUACCGGAUAAUGUCUUCGGACCAAAGAUUUAUCGCCUUUGGAUGGGCCCGCGUUGGAUUAGCUAGUUGGUAGGGUAAAAGCCUACCAAGGCGACGAUCCAUAGCUGGUCUGAGAGGAUGAUCAGCCACACUGGGACUGAGACACGGCCCAGACUCCUACGGGAGGCAGCAGUGGGGAAUAUUGGACAAUGGGCGAGAGCCUGAUCCAGCAAUGCCGCGUGAGUGAUGAAGGCCUUAGGGUUGUAAAGCUCUGUUACCCGGGAUGAUAAUGACAGUACCGGGAGAAUAAGCUCCGGCUAACUCCGUG